rnacentral:lncRNA from 1 species
CGCUCUAUCUGUCCUCUCUGUCGGGUUCCAUGUUAUUGAUAUCUGUCGCGUCUUUCUGGUCCAGGUUAAGUAUAUCUGUCUCUCUGUCUGGUCAGUUUAUUAUAUUCUCCGCUCUGUCUGGUCAGUUUAUUAUCUGUCUCUCUGUCCGGUCAGUUUAUUAUAUCUCUCUCUCGCUCUGUCUGGUCAGUUUAUUAUAUCUCUCUCUCUCUCUGUCUGGUCAGUUUAUUAUAUCUCUCUCGCUCUCUGUCU